AGCAGCCGCGGUAAUUCCAGCUCCAAUAGCGUAUAUUAAAGUUGUUGCAGUUAAAAAGCUCGUAGUUGAAUUUCGGGAUUUGUCAAUUGGUCGGGCUUAACUGUCCGUACUGAUUUGAUGAAUUCCUACCUUCUGAAUAACCAGCAUGCUAUUAAGUUAGUGCGUUGGGGAAGCAGAUCUAUUACCUUGAAAAAAUUAGAGUGCUUAAAGCAAGCUAGUGCUUGAAUAGAUUAGCAUGGAAUAAUAAAAUAGGACGGCAUGGUUCUAUUUUGUUGGUUUCUAGGAUCACCGUA
rnacentral:rRNA from 1 species